rnacentral:rRNA from 1 species
AUUGAACGCUGGCGGCAGGCCUAACACAUGCAAGUCGAGCGGAUGAAGGGAGCUUGCUCCUGGAUUCAGCGGCGGACGGGUGAGUAAUGCCUAGGAAUCUGCCUGGUAGUGGGGGAUAACGUCCGGAAACGGGCGCUAAUACCGCAUACGUCCUGAGGGAGAAAGUGGGGGAUCUUCGGACCUCACGCUAUCAGAUGAGCCUAGGUCGGAUUAGCUAGUUGGUGGGGUAAAGGCCUACCAAGGCGACGAUCCGUAACUGGUCUGAGAGGAUGAUCAGUCACACUGGAACUGAGACACGGUCCAGACUCCUACGGGAGGCAGCAGUGGGGAAUAUUGGACAAUGGGCGAAAGCCUGAUCCAGCCAUGCCGCGUGUGUGAAGAAGGUCUUCGGAUUGUAAAGCACUUUAAGUUGGGAGGAAGGGCAGUAAGUGAAUACCUUGCUGUUUUGACGGUACCAACAGAAUAAGCACCGGCUAACUUCGUG